CAGGGGACCAGUAUGAUGGUAGGCUGAGGACCCGUAUGAUGGUAGGCUGAGGCAGGGGAGCCAUAUGAUGGUAGUCUGAGGCAGGGGACCAGUAUGAUGGUAGGCUGAGGCAGGGGACCAGUAUGAUGGUAGGCUGAGGCAGGGGACCAGUAUGAUGGUAGGCUGAGGCAGGGGACCAGUAUGAUGGUAGGCUGAGUCAGGGGACCAGUAUGAUGGUAGGCUGAGGCAGGGGGCCAGUAUGAUGGUAGGCUGAGGCAGGGGACCCAUAUGAUGGUAGGCUGAGGCAGGGGACCAGUAUGAUGGUAGGCUGAGGCAGGGGACCAGUAUGAUGGUAGGCUGAGGCAGGGGGCCAGUAUGAUGGUAGGCUGAGGCAGGGGGCCAGUAUGAUGGUAGGCUGAGGCAGGGGGCCAGUAUGAUGGUAGGCUGAGGCAGUGGACCCAUAUGAUGAUGGUAGGCUGAGGCAGGGGACCAGUAUGAUGGUAGGCUGAGGCAGGGGACCAGUAUGAUGGUAGGCUGAGGCAGGGGGCCAGUAUGAUGGUAGGCUGAGGACCAGUAUGAUGGUAGGCUGAGGACCAGUAUGAUGGUAGGCUGAGGACCAGUAUGAUGGUAGGCAGAGGACCAGUAUGAUGGUAGGCUGAGGCAGGGGACCAGUAUGAUGGUAGACUGAGGCAGGGGGCCAGUAUGAUGGUAGGCUGAGGCAGGGGACCAGUAUGAUGGUAGGCUGAGGCAGGGGACCAGUAUGAUGGUAGGCUGAGGCAGGGGACCAGUAUGAUGGUAGGCUGAGGCAGGGGACCAGUAUGAUGGUAGGCUGAAGCAGGGGACCAGUAUGAUGGUAGGCUGAGGCAGGGGACCAGUAUGAUGGUAGGCUGAGGCAGGGGACCAGUAUGAUGGUAGGCUGAGGCAGGGGACC
ensembl:lncRNA